UAAGUACUUUUUUCAUCCGAAAAUACUUGUCAGAGAAAUAGAUGUAUCUAGACGUAUUUUAGUGUAGAUGCGUCCAUUUUUAUUUAUUUUCUGACAAGUAUUUUUUAGGACGAAGAGAGUAGUAU
rnacentral:pre_miRNA from 1 species